rnacentral:rRNA from 1 species
AAGUCGAGCGAGAAAACCCGCAAGGGUGAGUACAGCGGCGCACGGGUGCGUAACACGUGGGUAAUCUGCCCUGAAGCCCGGAAUAACCUCCCGAAAGGGAAGCUAAUACCGGAUAAGACCACGGGAACCUCGGUUCCUGCGGGAAAAGGUGGYCUCUGCAUGCAAGCUAUCAUUUCAGGAUGAGCCCGCGGCCCAUCAGCUCGUUGGCGGGGUAACGGCCCACCAAGGCUACGACGGGUAGCUGGUCUGAGAGGACGAUCAGCCACACUGGAACUGAGACACGGUCCAGACUCCUACGGGAGGCAGCAGUGGGGAAUCUUGCGCAAUGGGCGAAAGCCUGACGCAGCAACGCCGCGUGUGUGAUGAAGGUCUUCGGAUCGUAAAGCACUGUCGGGAGGGACGAAUAAGGGCCAGGUGAACAAUCUGGCUCGAUGACGGUACCUCCAAAGGAAGCACCGGCUAACUCUGUGCCAGCAGCCGCGGUAAUACAGAGGGUGCAA